rnacentral:lncRNA from 1 species
UUUGAAUAACGCGCCACGGGAUUCAACUGGCUGUUGAGUAGGUGGGACGAUUUCGUCCCACAUACCAUAGAGAGGUUAAUGUUCACAAAAUACAUAACAAUUAUUUUAAGAAUUAUAGAUACAGAACUCCUUUAUGCAAUUGCGGUGUCAGAUUUUAAAAUAGCUUUUCGGCGAAAGCACAUUUUGCAAUAUUCUGAGUAGAUAGCCCAGCCAUCACGGCUAGCUAAUUUGACACCCACCAAGUUUGGCCCUCACCAAACUCAGAUUUACUAUAAGAAAAAUUGGAUUACCUUUGCUGUUCUUCGUCAGAAUGCACUCCCAGGACUUCUACUUCAAUAACAAAUGUUGUUUUGGUUCGAAAUAAUCCAUAGUUAUAUUGAAAUAGCUCCGUUUUGUUCGUGCGUUCAGGUCAGUAUCCGAAGGGUGACGCGCGAGCGCAUUUCGUGACAAAAAAAUUCAAAAUAUUCCAUUACCGUACUUCGAAGCAUGUCAAACUCUGUUUAAAAUCAAUUUUUAUCCGAUUUUUCUUGUAAAAUAGCGAUAAUAUUCCAACCUGGUGACGUUGUAUUCAUUCAAAGAGAGAAAGAAAAACAUAGAGAAUUCACAUGAACGCGCAUCUCCAGUGUCACUGUUCUCAGCCUGACCACUCACAAAUCUCCUGCUGUUUUUCGCCCAGAGACUGGAGAGACGUCAUUCUGCUUUCUGGUGCCUUCUGAGAGCCAAUGGAAGCCUUAGAAAAUGUCACGUUACAGCAGAGAUGCUGUAUUUUUGAUACAGAUGCCACAGAAGGAGAACAAAUUGUCAGACAGGGCACUUCCUGUGUGGAGUCUUCUCAGGUUUUGGCCUGCCAUAUGAGUUAUGUUAUACUCACAGACACCAUUCAAACAGUUUUAGAAACUUUAGAGUGUUUUCUAUCCAAAUCUACUAAUUAUAUGCAUAUUCUCGUUUCUGGGCAAGGGUAGUAACCAGAUUAAAUCGGGUACGUUUUUUAUCCGGCCGUGCAAAUACUGCCCCCUAGCCCCAACAGGUCUGGGCUAGGUGGGACGCUAGCGUGCCACCCGUGGUGCACUCCAUCAACAGCAGGUGCAUUUCAAGAGCGGCAAAUUUGAAUCCAAAUAAAUGUCAAAAUUCAAAUUUUUCAAACAUAC